AAUUUUAAGGUUUGAAGCCAGUGACUGCUGACCUUGAUUCACAAACUUGUCCUCUUGAUCCCAAUCCACGUGCACCAGCUGGGCUCCAGAGUCAGCCAGAACUAUGCCCCUGUUGGAAGAAGGGGAUUUCCCAGGUUACAGAAGAACGACUUGACUUUACCCACUUGUGCCCAGUCCCUUGGAAGUGAUCGCAUGCAACCAUUAAAACACUUGAAUUCUAUAUGUGGACUCAUAUUUCCUAGAUGGCAUUACUUAGGAGACUGAACUCCAUAUCACCAUACAUACCUGCCAUACCAACAAAAAGGACUUCGAAUCUCAGAAAGAAAAUGCUGGUUAUAAGAAUCACUAAGACGAUUUGAAACAAAAAUCUGACAUUCAAACAAGUUAUUUACACUCCUAGACCUACUUAGAUCCCAAGUUAGGUACAUAGGGUCACAAUGCUUCAAGAAUAGGAAUCAAGAAGUCAGGAAUGUGAAAAACAGAAACAGUUGAAGAGGAAAAUGCCUUUUCUCUAGAAUUUAAGACAAAUGUGUCAUGGGAUAGACUUAACAGUGGAGCUUCCAACCUGCAGAGCAAUGUGUGUCUGUCAAAAAAUGAAACACCCACUGAGACCUUCUAGGCCAAAGGCUUUGUGUAUAGAUGCAAACCUGGGUUCUGCCCAUUGACCACCCUUGGGAUAUCAUCUGAGGGACCUCCUUUCUCCUUGUAAUGUUGAAAAGUUUAAUCAUGAACAGUAUUGGGAGGUUUCGUCAUUACUAAUAUUAAAGGUGGAGAGUUUUUCAAACCACUACAAUUUUCCAUAAGA